rnacentral:rRNA from 1 species
AACGCGAAGAACCUUACCAGGUCUUGACAUCCCCUGACAACCCGAGAGAUCGGGCGUUCCCCCUUCGGGGGGACAGGGUGACAGGUGGUGCAUGGUUGUCGUCAGCUCGUGUCGUGAGAUGUUGGGUUAAGUCCCGCAACGAGCGCAACCCUCGACCUUAGUUGCCAGCAUUCAGUUGGGCACUCUAAGGUGACUGCCGGCUAAAAGUCGGAGGAAGGUGGGGAUGACGUCAAAUCAUCAUGCCCCUUAUGACCUGGGCUACACACGUGCUACAAUGGGCGGUACAAAGGGUCGCGAACCCGCGAGGGGGAGCCAAUCCCAAAAAGCCGCUCUCAGUUCGGAUUGCAGGCUGCAACUCGCCUGCAUGAAGCCGGAAUCGCUAGUAAUCGCGGAUCAGCAUGCCGCGGUGAAUACGUUCCCGGGUCUUGUACACACCG